rnacentral:rRNA from 1 species
UAUUGGACAAUGGGCGAAAGCCUGAUCCAGCAAUGCCGCGUGAGUGAUGAAGGCCUUAGGGUUGUAAAGCUCUUUUACCAGGGAUGAUAAUGACAGUACCUGGAGAAUAAGCUCCGGCUAACUCCGUGCCAGCAGCCGCGGUAAUACGGAGGGAGCUAGCGUUGUUCGGAAUUACUGGGCGUAAAGCGUGCGUAGGCGGUGACUCAAGUCAGAGGUGAAAGCCUGGAGCUCAACUCCAGAACUGCCUUUGAAACUAGGUCGCUAGAAUCUGGGAGAGGUGAGUGGAAUUCCGAGUGUAGAGGUGAAAUUCGUAGAUAUUCGGAAGAACACCAGUGGCGAAGGCGGCUCACUGGCCAGAAUUGACGCGAGGCACGAAA